CAUGAUUUGAGGCUGGUCUAAACAGAUUAUUCUGACAGACAUAAUCUUAAUGUUACCGACUGGAUCAGAGUCUCCCCCGAUUUCUGACUGGAAAUCCUACAGUGUGAAAGGAACAGCGAUGGAUUAUUGAGCAAAAACCCGCAAUAGUCAAUGAGAGCCAGCUGAUCGGGUGGACAGAAGAAGAGGAAGACAAGCUUGUGAGACAUAGCACACACAAAUGCAACCAUCUGACGACAGUCCACCUCCAUGUUUUUCACAUAUGAUCCUGCCAGUUUCUGUGAGAGCCCAAGUCCCUGAAAUCGGCACUCUGAAAUAAUUUAGGAUAAGUGUGUGUGAUCCUGAGUCUUGACUGAAUCGUCUUGUGUGUGCACUAUUACGAUUAAAAUAUUAGCAAUCUGUU